CGCCUUCAGAUUCAAUAUUGGAGGUCUGGUCUGCCCAGUGUAAUUAAUUAACGGCCGCGGUAUUCUGACUGUGCAAAGGUAGCAUAAUCACUUGCCCUUUAAAUGGGGGAAUGUAUGAAUGAUUAGACGAGGUUUUUACUGUCUCUUCCUUAUAAAUUGAGAUUACAAUACUUGUGAAAAUGCGGGUAAGGUAAUAAAGGACGAGAAGACCCUGUUGAGCUUUUAAGCUAAACUAUAGUACAGGUUAAGUUAAGUAAUAAUUUACAAUUAAAACGAGUAAUUUUUUGUAGGCUUUUUGGCUGGGGUGGCAAGCAAAGAUAUUAAGCUUUGUUGUAGUAUACAUUUUGUAUUUCUAGAUAAUAUAUAUCUAUAAAUAAUUAAAUUGAUCCGUUAAAAUAGAACGAUUAAAAGAAUAAGUUACCACAGGGAUAACAGCGUAAUUCUUUUUGAGAGCUCGAAUUGACAAAGGAGUUUGCGACCUCGAUGUUGGAUCAAGAUUCCUAGCGGUGUAGCAGCUGUUACGGGUUUGCCUGUUCGGCGAUUAAUAUCU
rnacentral:rRNA from 1 species